rnacentral:lncRNA from 1 species
AGUUAGACAAUAGGAAAGGAGUUGUUGUCCAGAUCACAAGAGAUUCAUAAUCAGUUGUUAUCCUAUAAUAAUUCCACAUUUUUCUAUGACCUAGAGACUCUUUUGUCGAAUGUUGAGUUUAUCUGUCUACGUGUUACUCCUUGGCUGAAACCGCUCAUAUUUUUGCUGUGGGGCCUCAAGCUAGACUUCCAAAGUCAUUUCCUGAUGAAUACAGAAAGAAGAGAAGAGAAGAGAAGAGAAGAGAAGAGAAGAGAAGAAGAAGAAGAAGAAGAAGAAGAAGAAGAAGAAGAAGAAGAGAAGAGAAGAGAAGAGAAGAGAAGAGAAGAGAAGAGAAGAGAAGAGAAGAGAAGAGAAGAGAAGAGAAGAAGAAGAGAAGAGAUCAUCUCUGGGAGCAGAGCAGGGGAUAUCCCAGUGGUAGCAGCCACAAUAAAUUUUUGCUAUUCUCUUG